CCGACGGUGAGGGGUGAAGCCCUGGGGCGCAAACGGGAUUAGAUACCCCGGUAGUCCAGGGUGUAAACGCUGCGGGCUUGGUGUUGGGGGUCCUUUGAGGGCGCCCAGUGCCGGAGAGAAGUUGUUAAGCCUGCUGCUUGGGGGAGUACGUCCGCAAGGAUGAAACUUAAAGGAAUUGGCGGGGGAGCACCGCAACGGGAGGAGCGUGCGGUUCAAUUGGAUUCAACGCCGGACAACUCACCAGGAGCGACGGUUACAUGAAGGCCAGGCUGAUGACCUUGCCUGAUUUUCCGAGAGGUGGUGCAUGGCCGUCGUCAGUUCGUACCGUAAGGCGUUCUCUUAAGU
rnacentral:rRNA from 1 species